rnacentral:rRNA from 1 species
UACGGAAGGCAGCAGUGGGGAACAUUGCACAAUGGGCGCAAGCCUGAUGCAGCCAUGCCGCGUGUAUGAAGAAGGCCUUCGGGUUGUAAAGUACUUUCAGUCGUGAGGAAGGUGUUAAGGUUAAUAACCUUAGCAAUUGACGUUAGCGACAGAAGAAGCACCGGCUAACUCCGUGCCAGCAGCCGCGGUAAUACGGAGGGUGCGAGCGUUAAUCGGAAUUACUGGGCGUAAAGGGCACGCAGGCGGUUAAUUAAGUUGGAUGUGAAAUCCCCGGGCUUAACCUGGGAAUGGCAUUCAAGACUGGUUAGCUAGAGUCUUGUAGAGGGGGUAGAAUUCCAUGUGUAGCGGUGAAAUGCGUAGAGAUGUGGAGGAAUACCGGUGGCGAAGGCGGCCCCUGGGACAAAGACUGACGCUCAUGUGCGAAAGCGUGGGGAGCAAACAGGAUUAGAUACC